ensembl:miRNA Gm23415 predicted gene, 23415
GUCAUAUAUUUUAUAUAUAUGUGUGUGUGUGUGUGUGUGUGUGUGUGUGUGUGUAUUAAUACACACACACAUACACACACA